UACGAAGGGGGCUAGCGUUGUUCGGAAUUACUGGGCGUAAAGCGCGUGUAGGCGGUUGCCCAAGUCGGGUGUGAAAGCCUUGAGCUUAACUCAAGAAAUGCACUCGAUACUUGGUGACUAGAGGACCGGAGAGGAUAGUGGAAUUCCCAGUGUAGUGGUGAAAUACGUAGAGAUUGGGAAGAACACCAGUGGCGAAGGCGGCUAUCUGGACGGUUUCUGACGCUAAGACGCGAAAGCGUGGGGAGCAAACAGG
rnacentral:rRNA from 1 species